UUAAAUGGGAAAAUUAAGUUGUUGUUUACUAAUAUAUUACUAUUUAUAUGUUGUUUUACUAUAUAUUACUAGUCAGGGUGUUAGCCAGAAGUAAAAAAAAUCCGCGUUUACCUGAAAUUGGGAAAUUUAUUUAAAAUUUUUUUCUUGGGAAAAUUUUUUGGGCGACCUUUCCGCCCUCGCCAAAAAAAUUUCGGUCAGUGUACCAUUUUAUAUAGGGGUCCAAAAAUUUUUCCGGACAUAUCAAAAUUUUUCGCGACAGUUUGUGUCUUUGAAAUGGUAUUUCCCGCAUUUUGGGAGUAAUUUUGCGCAAAUGUAGUUAUAAACAUGUUUUUAAUGGCGUAUUAACAACAUAUUGACGGCAACAUGGACGGCAAGAUACGGUACUGGUCUAUUGUCAGAUAUGAAAAAAAUAAUUGAAUUUUUAUGCUAUUUUUUGG